UGCAUAAAAAAUUUGAAUUUAAAAUGACAAGCAUGUGAACAAAAACAGCACACUGUGAUAAAUCUAAUCUACCAUAGUGAGAGUUCCGAAUCCAAUACCUGAGCAUGGAUAGUCGAACUCCAUAAUUGAGAAUGAGGAUUUGAAAGUUCUCUCUGAUUGCUUAUAGCCAUACAAGCAUCCAACCUCUACAGAUGGUCCACAUGAAGCCCUCGGAUCGAUUAGCUCUCCACAGGAGUGCUAGCUCAUGCAGUCAGUUUCUGAUGGUGGAUCUGAUUUAAUUUUUUUCUUUGAUUGUCUCAAACCUUUUCGAUGUCGAAGAUAUAUUAGAGGAGGAUGCUAGAUGGUAGAGAAAAAUUAGAUAAAGAAUCUCUUUUCUUUUAAACUUUUUCUCACCCAGAAAUCCUAGAAUGAUUCUAGGUCUCUCACUCGAGAGGAGAUAGAUCUCCUCCUUUGCACACGCCAAGAAGAUAGAAACCCACCCCAAACCUCACACCCCA
rnacentral:lncRNA from 1 species